rnacentral:ncRNA from 1 species
GGACACACACCUACCAGUGGAAGGUGGAGUAUGCUACACUCUGUCUUACAGUGGCUACUACAGAUAUUCAAAAGCAGCCGUGGUUCGGAUUCUCGGCUAAAACACGCCGUGAUGAAGUAGGAAUUGGAAGUAAUCGCCGACGUGAAAGCGGCGGUGAAUCGGUCACUGGUCC